rnacentral:pre_miRNA from 1 species
AGUGGGAUAGCUGGGUCAAAUGGUGGCUUCAUUCCAAAUUUUUGAAGGAUUCUUCAUAGUGCUUUCCAGAUUGGCUGCACCAAUUUGCAGUCCCAUCAGCAAU